AUUUUCUAGAAUCUUCUGGAGGCCAGCAUUCGGCCUACGCUGUGGAGGGGAAUCCACAGAGCCGACCCAGGGUGACGCUGGGUGAGCCAAGACCCCCUCCCUGAGUCUAGAUGCUGUGCACCUGCCUGCCAGGAUGGAGAGCGCCAGACUAGACGUCCAGGGGGGUGGCCUGGCACAGUCCUGCACACAGCAAAUGCUCGGCCACAGCGGCUCUGCUUUCACCGAGCCACCCUGAGGGCAGAAGUCAGAUUGACCACAUCCACCGCAGCCCCGUCCCUGCGCUGACUCCUUGAGAGCCAGGAGCCAAUGGCCAGCUGGAAUCAGGAGAUGGUGGCCGGCCAUGGGGUUGGAGCCAACAGCACCCACCGCAAAGGAUGCUGGGAGGUGACGUACACCCAGAGCCUGGGGGCUGGAGGUCCUGUGGUCCAAGAGGCAGAGAGCAUCCACUUCCUGCAAGGCCCUCUCCUCAAGGUCGUCCUCCUCCUGCAGCCUCCGGGGCCUGACCCUGACCAAGCAGCACAGGGCUCUCUGGGGAGGUUUCCACAAAGACCGGUCCAGCCCCUGGGCUGCUGCGGGAAAUCCUGGAGGCCAGCAUUACAAUGCAUUGCUUCCGGCUGCCGAGUGGUCCCCAGGCACAGGAAAGAGGUGCCAGUGGCCUUGGUGCUUUCCACAGGGACUGGGCCAGGCGGC